rnacentral:rRNA from 1 species
AGUGCAAAGACGCCGGUUGGGGAAUGACUCGGCUUGGUAAGUGAUGAAGGACGUGGCAAGCUGCGAUAAGCCCGGGGUAGGUGCAAGCGACCGUUGAUCCUGGGAUUUCCGAAUGAGGUCUCUCUUUACACUCCCUUGCUUUUCGCUUGGGAGGGCGAACUGUCCGAAGUGAAGCAUCUGAGUAGGAUGAGGAAGAGAAAUCAACACGAGAUUCCGCUAGUAGCGGCGAGCGAAAACGGAAGAGCCCAAACUGAAUCUGUCACGGUAACGUGAUAGAGAUGUGGUGUGCUAUGGCGUAUAGGAUGCUGUUCUCCGAGCUGAAGUGCUCUGGAACGUGCUGGCGAAGAGGGUGAUACCCCCGUAAGCGUAAGGGAAUGGGAUUCUGCUAUAGCAAGAGUAUCUGGCCUUGGCAGUGGCCAGUGACUAUGGGUGAAAGUAGCAUCCAAGGCUAAAUAUUCACCAAGACCGAUAGCAUACUAGUACUGUGAAGGAAAGUUGAAAAGUACCCCGGAAGGGGGAUGAAAAGUGUCUGAAACCAACCGGUUACAGACGUGUACGGCUUGAAAGGAGUUUGGUAGAGGUCCCGCAAGGGAUUGAAGCCUUCCAGAGUCGUACGUUCCGUCUAGAAACACGGGCCAGGGAGAUUGCUGUCAUGGCGAGCCUAACCUGACGAAGGGGAGGCGAAGGGAAACCGAAUUCGCGCAGCUUCGGCGAGGCGAAGGAUCCGAAAGGGUCUUCAGUCAUGGCAGUAAGGCUAGAAACCGGACGAUCUAGUCCUGGAUAAGACGAAGGCGGGCUAACGCCCGCUGGAGGUCUGCAAGGGUCCUGACGUGCAAAUCGGUCCCCAGAUCUGGGAUUAGGGGUCAAAAACCAAUCUAGUCCGGUGAUCGCUAGUUCCCACCGAAGUGGAUCGCAGUCCUGCCUCAGUGGAGACUGCUUGUAUUGUAGAGCACCGAUCGGACGGUAAGGGCUCGAAAGGGCUCGCCGCCCAUUCGAACUCCGAAUGUACAGGCGUCGUAGAAGCUGGGAGGCGGGUUUAUGUGGGGUAAGCCUCAUAACCGAAAGGGGGACAACCCAGACUAAAGUUAAGGUCCCUAAGUGUCUGCUAAGUGUCAAACAAAAAGGCGUUUUCGAGCGAAGACAGCAGGGAGGUAGGCUCAGAAGCAGCCAUCCUUCAAAGAGUGCGUAACAGCUCACCUGCCGAGCUCGGAAGCCCUGAAAAUGGACGGGGCUCAAGUAGGCCACCGAUACUUUAGACCACCGGUAAUGCCGGUGCGUGGUAGGUGGGCGUAGUGUUUGGGUCGAAGCUGGGCUGUGAAGUCCAGUGGACCGAACGAACUAUUGCAGAUCCUGGUGGCAGUAACAGCAUAGCCGGGUGAGAAUCUCGGCGACCGCAAGGGCAAGGGUUUCCCGGCAAUGCGUCAUCAGCCGGGAGUUAGCCGGUCCUAAGAGCAGCCUCAACAGAGCUGUCCGAAUGGGAAACUUGUUAAUAUUCAAGUGCCUUGAAGGGAUCGUUUUUACCUGCCUUGUUGCUUCAGGAUAGGGCAAGCAGAACCGUCGUUCUGCCCAAGUUUUCGAGCGUGGGGGAGUGCUGUAAUGGCGAGAUCUCAUGCGAGGGGCGAGUGGCCUGCCGCAAGGCGGGUUUGCCCAAGUCCAGGAGACACUGAAAGCAAGGUUAGGGAGAUCUCUUCAAGUCCGUACCGAGAACCGACACUGGUGCCCUGGUUUAGUAGACUAAGGUCUGUCGGGCAUACCGUAAGGCGAGGGAACUCGGCAAAAUAGCUCCGUACCUAAGGUAUAAGGAGUGCCUGAGGCUUUUGCGAGGAGCAGGGGCCUCAGGUCGCAGUGACAAGGGGGUCCCGACUGUUUAAUAAAAACACAGGUGGCCGCUAGUCCGAAAGGAUGAGUAUGGCCUCUGUAUCCUGGCCAGUGGCGGUACCUAAAACCUGGGUUCAACUGGGCUAAGGGCCGCUAAACGCCGGGAGUAACUCUGACUCUCUUAAGGUAAACUUGGUUUGCCUUAACAAAAUCUGGCUAUAUGCUGGAAAGUCUGUGAAUGUCAGGCUAGCUUUUCCAAGCUUAAAAGGAGCUCUGGAUAAUCUGACAAUGCCAUGACUGCAGAUGAUCAGCAGGAAAGACUAGAUGCGCAGUGGGUCACUGGGUUCGUAGACGGAGAAGGAUGCUUCCAUGUUUCCAUAAAUAAAGUUCGAGAAAUGAUAUCCGCUGAAAACAAAGAAGGAAAAAGACCUAGAAAUAUUUGAGCAGAUCUUGGAACUAAUGGAACAAAGGGAACAUCUAACUAUCGCAGGCCUGACAAAGAUUGUCAAUCUUUGCUGGGCAAUGAACCGAAAAGUGAAACGGCGCUUUCUAGAAUCCUCAGAGACUAUACGCCAGAAAUCGCGCAAGCGAUUAAGAUAUAGUCCGACCCCUGUAGCGAUACAGGGAGGCUUGCAGUAGCAAGCCCGCCUCGGUUCUUAAGAAUCGAGGUCAUACAAAGCAACAGAUGUGAGCCAAAUGCCUUGUCGGGUAAGUUCCGACGUGCAUGAAUGGAACAACGAGGGCCCCGCUGUCCCCGCCUGCAGCCCGGUGAAGCCACAUAAUGUGGACGAACAGUCCACAAACCUCUGUCGGGGAGAGAAGACCCUGUGGAGCUUUACUGCAGCCUGUUGUUGCGUUAUGGUUGCGUAUGCAGAGUGUAGCUGGGAGUCUACGAAGUUGAUCCUCCGGGGUCAAUAGAGACGCCAUUGUAACACCAGCCAUUCGUUACCGUAUCGCUAACCCGUUCUCACGGGGACAACGGCAGGUGGGCAGUUCGGCUGGGGCGGCACCCCCUUGAAAAAGUAUCGAGGGGGCCCAAAGAUUGGCUCAGGCGGGACAGAACUCCGCCGGUGAGGGCAAAGCCAAAAGCCAGUCUGACUGUGUUCCCAAUGAUACGGAAUACAGAGGAGAAAUCCGGGCUUAGCGAUCCAUCAUGUCCCCACUAUUGGGGGCUGGUGGUGACAGAAAAGUUACCCUAGGGAUAACAGGCUCGUCGCGGGCGAGAGCUCCCAUCGACCCCGCGGUUUGGUACCUCGAUGUCGGCUCUUCCCAUCCUGGUUCUGCAGCAGGAGCCAAGGGUGGGGCUGCUCGCCCAUUAAAGGGGAACGUGAGCUGGGUUUAGACCGUCGUGAGACAGGUCGGUCUCUGCCUGACAGGGGCGCGGUUGUCUGAGGGGAAGUUGCCCCUAGUACGAGAGGAACAGGGCAGCGCAGCCUCUGGUUUAUCAGCUGUCCGACAGGGCACGCUGAGCAGCUAAGCUGCUUAGGAUAAGUCCUGAAAGCAUCUAAGGACGAAGCCUUUCCCGAGAAAAGACAGCCUUCCGCAAGGAGAAGGGCGGCCAUAGAAGAUGGCGUUGAUGGGAUGGAGGUGUAAGCACCAAGCUUCGGCGAGGUGUUCAGCCUGCCAUUCCCAAUAGCCC